rnacentral:tRNA from 1 species
GGAGGGUAUCCGAAUUGGUUAGGAGUCUGAUUCGAAAUCAGAUGCCCCGUAUGGGGUUGAGGGUUCGAGUCCCUUGCCCUCCG